CCUGACCAGGGGUCGAACCCUCACCCUGCAUUGGAAGGUGAAGCCUUAACCACUAGACUGCCGGGAGGUCCCCAUACCUCUCUAUUUCUUGUUCCUUUUCAUCAUUUGGAUAUAUUUCUUGCCUUCUAGAACCAUUUAUCAGACGCUAGAUCUCCUAGUACCUAAGUGCUUUUACGGUAGUAGGUUAGACGAUGUGUCUCUAAUUAUAUGCUUUACUGUUAACAAUGAAAAUACAUUAUUAACCCAGCUAAAGUCACAAAUAAAGCCUUGUUAAAUAUGAUGAUUGAGUAUAAUUAUGUAAAACAAAAGGGUUUAAAAUUCACUAUGUGUUGAAGAGUCAGAAGUAUAAUAAGAAAUUUAAAAUGAUUGAAAUCUAAACACCUUUAGAAUGAGUCCUUCUGCCAGAGUCUGUAGUGCAUUUACUGUGGUGAACUCCUAGCAAAAGAAUCACGGGGGUGCUCUUCACACACGGGGAGAGUCUGUGGACCAUAUGUCACAUUCUCUAAGGAGCAGAACGCUUCCUGAAUGUUGAAUUGUGAAUAAUCCAGCACUUUAGCUCAUAAUCAUUGUUAUACAAACCACCCCUCUUUUACUGGAUUCGACUUUAGUUGCCAUCUACAAUGCGAGAUGCCGACAAAUGGAAAAGGUAAGUCUAUCAUGUUUGGUGACAAAUGGUCCACUUCGAGGCCAUAUUAUUAAAAAUAACCAACACAGAUUUCUUUCGGAGGUUCGAUGACUUUGGAGUUGAUGGUGCCAGUAUUGUCAGUAUGCCAAUUAUAGUUUACUGGAGUGGUUUGAAUAACUUUCUUUUUAAUUUAAUUGAUUUUAGCAUGAGAUUUUAUCAAUAUCAUUCAAUUCCUUAAGUUUUCAUCAUCUUUUUUUAAGAAUACUAAUUUUUUCAAGCCACUUUUAGUUGGGCUGAACUAUUUAUAUAUCUGUUACCUAUCAAACCACCUUUGUAAUUUGAUAACUAAUAUUUUAAAAUGUUUAAAAAUAUUUAUGAAAUGUAUUAUACAGUAACAUUUCAGCAUCUGUGUUAAUGAGAAGCUUUCUUUAUGAAAUCAUGAGUUUGCUAGAUCAUCAUCUCUGUGAGGUUGGAAUUGGAUGUGUUUUUACACGAUAAUAGCUGACACUUUCACAAUGCUUGUGAUAUGGAAUAACUCUUUUAAUUCUCACCAUAACUCCAGGAUGUAGGUCCUAUUGUUAGUCUCAUUUUACAGAUGGAUAAAAUAAGACAUAGUGAGAUUAGGGACUUGCCCAAGGUCACACAGCUAUUAAGUGGUGAAACCAGACUUUGAUCACAGGCAUUCUCUUAACCAUGUGUUCUUAACCACUAUGCUUUUAAAGAUGUUCUUAAACACUGUGCUUGUCUUACCAUAUCACAUAAUUUAUUGUCCAAACUGGGAUACUUACGAGAUUGAGAUAAUAAUGAUAACCAAACAGUAGGAAUAAGCUGGGGUUGUCCUGGGCCAGCUGGAAUGUAUGGUUGGCUUAGCUCUGCUGCCUCUCACUAAAUAAAUGUUUGUUGAAUGAAUAAAUGGAUAGAUGGAUAGAUGGAUGGAUAACCGAAGAGUUCAUAUCAUUUCAUCCACAUGGGUAAGCUGCUGUAUGGAAACUUUAAUUUCAAAUAAUGAGCUUCAAAUCUGACCUCAUGAGGUAAUGUGGUCUCAUGGAGGUGAAUACUGAUUCUCAGAGAUAAUCAAAGAAGGAAGAAAAAUAUCAGGAAAAGGACUUAUUCCUUUUAUAAUAAUCUUCUACCAACUGAUCAAUGGAGCAUUAAUUCUGGUUCAAAGGAGCCUAAGGGAGGAGCAUUUAACGUAGUGAUCAGAUGGUCAGUGCUGCAAUAGUAUCAACAGAUGGAGUGAGGAAUUGGGGAAACUGCCAAAACAUCGAACACAAAGUGAAUUGGAGCCCACACGGAGAUGAGUCAGUGGCAGUCCUCCAGCUCUAGAUCCAGCAGGCUCCAGCAGCAUGGCCGAGGUCAGUUACUGACUUCUAUUCAAGUUAUGGCAUCUCCAUAUGUCAACCUAUGACCUCCACUUACAACUGUUAGCUAUAAGAUGCCAAUGCUUCACCUCCAGUUUCUUCUGGAUCUCCUCCAGGGACAGAUCUUUCUUCUUGGGAGAAGCUAAAGUUCGUGGGGCUUCUGAGAUAGGAGAUGGUGGCUUUAAGAUCAGCUCAAAAG